UGUGAUAUAUGAUAAUGAAAAUUUUUAAAAAUUAAAAUAUUUGGAUCCACGCUAUCUCCAUAUUUUUUCUUGGAUCAUCAUCUUUCUAACUACUCUAAUGUUCGUAGCAUACCUACCUACCUACCUAUCUACUAGUUGCUAUUUGAUUUAUCAUCCUUUUCAUCCACCAAAAAAUUUUAUGACACAUUCCGAUGGAACAAAAAGAGCAAACAUUAUAAUUUGAUAUACGUAAACAUUCAAGUAUUCUUUCUUUUAAAACAUCGAGAUAGUUCUGAAUACAACACUCGGUAUGCAGGCAU
rnacentral:lncRNA from 1 species